AAAGGGUCCGUAGGCGGACUCGUAAGUCAGUGGUGAAAUCUCAUAGCUUAACUAUGAAACUGCCAUUGAUACUGCGGGUCUUGAGUAAGGUAGAGGUAGCUGGAAUAAGUAGUGUAGCGGUGAAAUGCAUAGAUAUUACUUAGAACACCAAUUGCGAAGGCAGGUUACCAUGUCUUAACUGACGCUGAUGGACGAAAGCGUGGGGAGCGAACAGGAUUAGAUACCCUUGU
rnacentral:rRNA from 1 species